UUUUAGCCCUGAUAGCAGUGGAAAUCCUUUUGUUUUUUCCUUUAAAAAACAAAAGAUUGCAACGGAUAGCAGGAUUAGCU
rnacentral:sRNA from 26 species